CGGGUGAGUAACGCGUGGAUAACCUGCCUCACACUGGGGGAUAACAGUUAGAAAUGACUGCUAAUACCGCAUAAGCGCACAGUACCGCAUGGUACGGUGUGAAAAACUCCGGCGGUGUGAGAUGGAUCCGCGUCUGAUUAGCCAGUUGGCGGGGUAACGGCCCACCAAAGCGACGAUCAGUAGCCGACCUGAGAGGGUGACCGGCCACAUUGGGACUGAGACACGGCCCAA
rnacentral:rRNA from 1 species